rnacentral:rRNA from 1 species
UACGGAGGGGGCCAGCGUUGUUCGGAAUCAUUGGGCGUAAAGGGCGCGUAGGCGGCUUUGUAAGUCCGUUGUGAAAUCCCUCGGCUCAACCGAGGAACUGCGACGGAUACUGCUUGGCUUGAGUCCCGGAGAGGGUAGCGGAAUUCCCAGUGUAGCGGUGAAAUGCGUAGAUAGUUGGGAGGAACAUCGGUGGCGAAGGCGGCUACCUGGACGGGUACUGACGCUGAUGCGCGAAAGCUAGGGAGCAAACAGG